ensembl:lncRNA
AAUAAAAGGAAUGACUGAAGAACACUAGCCGGGGGCAGGAAAGGUUUUCCAAGUGUAAAGAUUGUUCAGUGGGAGGAGAAGUCCAAGCGGCUCCAGGUCUUUUUUCCACGUGCGCCCAGAGAUGCAGCCCUGUGGUCUGGCUCUCGGGAGGUCUUGGGCGCCCGUGCUCUGCAGAUAGAAAGACAGGCCUCAAACCACUCCGUUCAGACAGGGUCUGUGCAGCCCAGCGGGAGUCAGGGGUUCUCGAAAGCAUAAGCUAACCCGGCGUGUCUGCCCCAUGGAUCCGUUAGGUCGAUUCAGAGGGAAGAGUCUUUUAGUGGCUCUAUAAUCGAAAGCGUGGCUCAUCCUCUUGGAAUGAGCAUUUUACUUGAGAGGAGGAAAGGUUAAGUGAUUUCACUGGUGUGUAAUUUGUAAUUCGGUGCCCCUUUCUGGAAACAUCUAUUUUAGAAACAGAUUUGGUUGAGGGGGAAAGGUUAACCAGCCUGACAAGGGAGUCAUUUAAAAUAUUAUUUUGCACUUAGAACAGGCACAGAUAUGGCAUGGAAUGCAAAAUUCACAUGGCUUCUCCGGAUUCAACUCAAGGCUUGAGUGAGAUUUCUUGAUGGAGUGGGUGCGGAUGACUGGGGCUCGGCCCUCCUUGUAUUUGGGGUUCUUGGAGGAGCAGGCGGCCUGCGUCCUGGGGAGGGUGUGUAAUGGCAGCGCCUGCAGUGCUGGGGCCCCGCGUGGCGGCCUCUUGUGCUCCGGCCACCAGGCCAGCCUUGAGGGUCUCUGAAGGUCAAAGUGAUCUCAUCUCUAAAGAUAGUGUAGGCACACGCAAGCAAAUGCACGCUUUCUUUUAAUUUCUUUUGUGUUUGUUUAAACAAAUGGUAGAAUUCCCCCUACACGUUCCUGUUUUAUUUUUUCACUGAACUGUAGUAAGAGAUUGUUCCCUAUCAGUUCGACUUCCUCGUUCUCCCCCUGUGGCUGCAGACUGUCCCCCGUUUGGAUUUACAGAACCACGCCCUUGUGAUGGGCUUGUUCCUAGCCUUUAGCUCUCUCAGGUAACGCUGGGGCCAUCAGCUACGUGCUUGUAUCUUUGAGACAUGCGAGUGUGUCUCUGGGACACGUUUUAGAAGUGGAGUGGCUGGGUCAGAGGCCACGUGCCUUUGGAAUGGGGGUGGAUACAUGCAACGGCGCUGCCCCGAGGAGGUUCUCCCCGAGGAAGGUCCUGGGGCAGCGUGUGGAGGCCGGGGUGGCAUGUGGAACGAGCAGGCAGCAGGACAGGGUGGCCUCGCAUCCCGGGGCCCUGACAGGCUCUUCAUCAGCCGCUCAGCCUGGGUUGGGAAAUGCUUAGGAGAACAAGUGUCACGGCCCAGAGCCAGCCUUCCCCAGUCCUGCCAGCCACUGGCUUGCAACAUGAAGCACAUGAUGCAGUCCUUCCGAAGAAGUGGAAUUUGGAUGUUUGAAGCCCCCUUCUUACUCGCUGUGAAGGCCCCCCUCGCUCCCAGGAAUUACCUCUUUAGAAAAACUCAGCUUCCCUUUCACUUCCCCUGAAGGGCAGCAGCUUUCAGGAUGUGAAGGGAAUCAUGGAUUUAUUGCUGUGCAAAGAAAGCUCACCCUUCAGGGAGAAAAGCUAGCAGGUCCCAUUGAAGAGCGGGUCCAUACAAGCCUGUGCAGGUGAUGCCUGCUUCCUGUAGGCCAGGCCUCUGGGACGUCAUUCUUGCUUUGGGGGCUUUUAUUAGCUCCAUCCUGUGGAGCAAGCAUGGCUCAGGCAGGACCACCCAGUGUGUAUGCCUCCCUCCGCUUGGGGGGUUCAUCCCUGCCACCCAGGCCCUAUGCGCAUGUGCUGGAGGGGGCAUGGCUUUGGAAAUAGCCCCUGCCUUGGACAUAGAGGCCCCCCUGCUUCCUGGCUGUGUCACCUCUGGGGCCUCUCUGAGCUUGAGCUUUGUCAGCACUGAGAGUCGGAAUGGCCUUCAUGAUGGGGGGAGCAGUGCGCUUGGGGAGUCAUGGUCUGGCUUUCUUUCCUUCCUGCCCUGUUUGUCCAUCUCCCUCUGGUCACCCUGAGCAGGUUGGGCCAGUGUGGCCCCAACACAGAGCUCUUCCCUUGAGUCAGCUAGGGACACCUUUCAGGGUGGCUCCCGAACCCUGCCUGGGCCACCUGCCCCAGCUCCAUCUCUGGAGCUGGGUCUCACCUGAGACCAGGACUCCAGGCUGCUGUCUUCCCAUCUCCCCGACCAGGUGAGCCAGAAUGUGCAAGUGUAAUUGCUGGAACAGAGUGGAAUGGCCUCCCCACUUUUUCUGGGGUGAGGCCCUUUGCCUGGAACUCCACCCGGAAGUCCUGCCCCAGACGAAUUUUGCUGCACAUACACCUGGUUUUCCGAUCAGCCCACGUUACCCUUGCGGACGAGGAUGCUCCCUGGUGGGCAUGUGGCAAGGGCCUCCUGCUUGCUUUGCCUUCCUGCCCCUUGGGCGCCCUGUCGAGGUGUCUCUGGUGCCCUCAGCAUCCUACCACCUGCUGCCGUCUCUUUCCUGCUGGGAUUCCCAGCUCUCCAGGCCAUCCCAGGGACCAGGAGACACUUGCUCCUUGCAGCUGCCCAGGAGCCGCGGAGACCAGGGAUCGGGGAUUUCGUUUCCCGGGAUGAGGACCCUGGAGCUCAGCUUGGGAAUCUGCUCCUGACGGACACCUUGUCGCCCACGUUUGUUCGUUCAUUCGUUCUUUCUUCCUUUCUUUUUUUUCUUUCUUUCUUUCUUUGGCCGUUUAGGGCCACACCUGUGUCACAUGGAGGUUCCCAGGCUAGGGGUCAAAUCGGAGCUACAGCUGCCAGCUUGCGCCACAGCAACGCAGGAUCCGAGCCACGUCUGUGCCCUACACCACAGCUCACGGCAACGACAGCUCCUUAACCCACUGAGCGAGGCCAGGGAUCAAACCUGCUACCUCGUGGUUCCUGGUCGGAUUCGUUUCCGCUGCGCCGUGACGGGACCUCCCUGCGUUCUUUCGAAAGAUCACGAAGAUGGAACCAGUAAGGAUGGUGAUGUUGCCACUUACCAUUGUCAUGGGCCCUCGGCGAACGGAGCACUUAGUUUGAAUCACUGUACUCAGUCCUCGUAACCGUCUCCAGAGGAGGCACCAUUGGGAGCAGCCGCACUUAACGGAGGAGUCAGCUGAGGCCUGGCGGCCGAAGGGACGAGUGCAUGCACGAGACUGACCGGCCGCAACGCCGGGGUUGAAAUCCCAGGGGCGCGAUUCCGGAGCCAGCUCUCGACACUCCAACACCAGCCUCCUCCGUUCUGCCUCAGACCCGCCUGAGAGUGAUGGUUUCUUUCUUUAAUUAAAAAUAAUAGUCUUUCUUUUGGGAAAUUCAAAACCUCUCUGACAAGAAGAGUAGAAUGAGCCGCCGUGUACCCGUCCCCAGCUUCAGCAGUUACCCGCGCUGGGCCAGUCUUGUCCUGUAACCAUCCCCACCCAGUCCCCUCUCCACCCCCUGAAUGACCCGGAACGAUUCCCCGACAUCUUCUCACCUCAGUAGAAGUCACUGAACUAGGCGUCUCUGAAAAAGAACAGUAGCUUCUGAAAACAUGAGCAUGUAGCUGAUGUGUUCUCCCGCCUCAGAGAGGAACAGUAGCUCCUUGACACCACGUGCCUGGUUGCGUUUCCCCAGUUGUUUCGUAAAUGAUUUGGGUUGUGAUUGGUUCAAAUAAGGAUCCAAGCGUGGUCUGUUCCUCACAUUUGCCUUCUGUGUCUCUUCAGGGUUUUAAACCUCUUCUUGAAUCGGGUCAUCUGUCUUGUGGCCCAGGAUGCGGGGGGCUUCCUGCCAGUGUGCUAUUCAUAGGUGCCACCUUCCUCGCUGGCCUCGCGCUGAUUGCUUCCCCACGGUGUCCUUGAACCAGCUCCUCUGUGCCCUGUAUUCCCUGUAAGUUUCCCGCCACUUUCCGUGACUUUCUAGUUGGUUCUACACUUGGGCUAAUACAACAGACGCCUGCUUUCCCGCCAGGUUUUUAGUUGUCAUCAGCAGUCACUGCUUGGGUCCCGUUAUUUCAUCAGGGGUGUGGAGUGAGGCCAUUUUAAGUCUCCCUUUUCUUCUUCAUUGAUUAGAUGGAAUUAUUCUUUAAAAAAAGCUUUACUUUGUCAGCUUCUUGUUGGUACUGAAGUUCAGUAUAUACAGGAAAGGCAGGAAAAAAGCUUCGUCUUCCCCCUUAUUGCCAAGUUCGAGAGCCAUGAAUUGAUCUUAUAGGCUCUUCCAAAGAUUUCUUUUUCUUUUUUUUCCCCUCUUUUUAUGGCCCAUGACAUAUGGAAGUUUCCGGGCUAGGCGUUGAAUCGAGGCUGCAGCUGCCAGCCUACAUCACAGCCACUGCAACGUAGGAUCUGAGCCACACUGUGGCCUACACUGCAGCUCCUGGCAACGCUGGAUCCUUAACCCACUGAGCAAGGCCAAAGAUUGAACCCACAUCUUCACACAGACAACAUCAGGUCCUUAACCCACUGAGCCACAACAGGAACUCCUCAAAGGUUGAUUUUAAAAAUGUUUAUGAUCAAUAUGGAUUCGUGGAUUUGAAUUUAUACUUGCUCUGUUGGCAUGCAUUGUAGUUACUCUGAUUCAUUUUGAUGUUCAGAUUGUCCCGUCUCUGGCUGCUGGGAGCCUCUUGCUUUGGUUUGAAUCCCUUGCCUACACUCUGUAUAAAUCCAUGCGUUCUUCCCUCUUUUUAGCUGGUUGGAAGAUUCUCUUUCUUCCAGAGGAGUCUCCUUAGAGUGGGGCCUGCCGGCUGCUCGCCAGGCCCAGGAUGCGGGGGCUUCCUGCCAGUGUGCUAUUCAUAGGUGCCACCUUCCUCGCUGGCCUCGUGGCCAAGGUCCCAGGCAGCGGCUGGAGUGGAGGAGCCAGGCCAGCAGUGCUGGCUGCUACCCCACGCAUAGUAGGUGUUCCGGAAGCGGCUGUCGAGUGAAUGAAGGGACUGAAAGCUGAUCCGUCACACCACCUGGCUGGAUUGGGUUCCUUUCCACCCUGGGAUUCUCCUGCGAGGCCAGCUCGAAAAUAGAGCUGGCCUUUGAUCCUCUGCAGCCCAGGACGCCCUCCCAGGGCCAGGCGCCUGUGGAGCAGGGCCGAAACUUCCAGGGUCGUGCCAGGGGUGUUGUGUGGGUGCCGCCUGUCAUCCUGCCCAGAGGGCGCUGGCUGGGGUGCGAGGGCCAGCUCUGCAUGCUUCCUAGACCGAGCUGUCCCCGGGGCACAGGCUGAGCUGGAGCCAGCCCCUGGUGCGACUUCUUCUGGGUAUGAGUUUCUCCAAGCCCAGCUCUUUCACUGCCCUGACUCGCAGCCUCGGCACAACUGUCACUAUUUUCGCUCCCAUCCCGGUCACCCAGCGUGGUCAUGGGCUCAAGAGGGCCCCUAAAUGGACCUCGGGGCUUCUGUUCUGGUUGCUGCUGCAAGUUGGAAAAGCAAAACAGAAAAAAAAA